AUCCCCGGAACCAAGGAUGGCAGCAAUACAUGCGACCCUGGUGCUUAGUGGGCAGAGACAGGCGAAUCCCAGCUCGCCUAGCUGAAAUGUCAAGACCCUAGUUCAGUGAGAAACCCAUUCUCAAAAACUAAGGUAGAGGCCCAGGCACCGUGAUGCACACUUUUAAUCCGAGCAUUCCGCAGGCAGAGGCAAAAAGGAGAGCACCUCCAGCAUAACAAGAAAGAAAAAUGAAUAGUGAACGAAGAAAAGAGAUGGCAGAGAGGCAUAAUACCAACACUGUGGAGGCAGAGACAGGAGGGGCCUGGGACUUGCUGGCCAGCCAAGCUAGCCCCAUCACUGCGCUCCAGGUUUAAUGUGGAAACCUAUUUCAGAUAAUAAAGGGGAGAGGUAGCUCAGCCACUAAAAGCACUGCCUGCUCUUCCAGAAUUCUUGAGUCCAACUCCCAUCGCGGCUCACAGCUGUCUUUGACUCAGCUCCAGGGGAUCUGGCGCCCUCUUCUGGCCUCUGCAGGCAUCAGGCACCCACAAGGAACACAUGCAGGUUUACCUGGCCCCUGGUGGAGGGAAGGGAGAGGGGCCAGAUAGGAAGGGGAAAACAUGGAGGGUAUAAAGGUUUAGGACCGCGUCGAGGUUGCUAAGCCCUUUCCUUUUCUUCUCCAAUCUUAGUCUCAUGGUCAAGAGAAACUCAUACACCCAUAUCGACUCCUCUGUCUCAUCUUAGCAUUCUGCCACACGUCAUAAUUUGAUCCGUAUUAACUGUCUCCUGGUCCUCUUUCUCUUUAGGUCACUAUGCCUCUCUUGAGUCUUUUCCCAACACCUGCUCCAGGUCUCUCACGGCUUUGGCUUCCUCACAUUUGUUAUGAAGACAGUGGUGAAAGACUAUUUUGUCUCCAGAAGAACAGCUUGUGUAAGAACUUGAAGGGCCUGGCACAUUUUCGUGACUCAACUGAGUUCCAGAGAAAGGUACGGUGGCAGGACACCCCAGCCAGUCACGGAAUUUGGAUGCAUGGGGCAGGCAUGGCAGUGACCCACCAUGGGAACAUAGCAAGUCGGGUGGAGAGAUUUCAGGAGCUCCAGGCCAGAGAGUCAGGGUCCUGCUCGCUUCUGAGGCUACAGCACCACCUGCCGCUCAUCUGAGGAAACCGGCUGAGACGGCAAAGGCCCGGGAGCCUGGGAGGAGGCGGAGGCUGACUAGGAGGCUGGCUCUGGGCCUCAAGAGAACCGACUCUUUGUUCUGGACAAAUCCAGCACUGGCCCUCAGGGACAAGGCAAACGUUUUGAUCAUUGUCGUCAGUCAUACAUCUUAGGCAAGGCAGGAUGCCUAGCUCUUACAAAAAGGAACUUGGAGGUUCUGAAAGGAUAUCUGGAUCUGCCGAUUUUCAUAAAACUCCAGUGUCCUCUCAAGGUUAAUUUACCCAGAGGAGUACCAGCCUGCCUUUGAAAUUCUGUAGAUUUCCUCAAAGUGAUUCUUGUUUCUGUGCGGGUUUGAGAUUAUUGCAAGUCGAGUUAAUUGGAUGGGUAAGAUAAUGAAGGCAAGCGUAGAAGAAUCAGACCUUUGGAAAAAAUAUAAGGAGCUUGCUCUUGCUGAACUCUCGCGGGUUCUCAGCCAGAGCGCUCUCUUAAGCUC